UGGAUGUGACAGAACAAGGAGGUCUGGAGCUGCAGCAGGUCCCUGGAGGAGACCAGGAGAGCCUCAGACUGACCGGAACCGGCACAAAGAAGCUUCACAUUUUAUUCUCAUUACUGCAGUUUUCCAUUUAAAAAAAGAAAAUGUUUCAUAGUCGAACCAGAACAAAAUGACAGAAUCUGUUACUUCCUGUUUAGAUGCUCCUGCUGCCCUGAAUCACUGAUGAACUCACACUGAUCCACAUCUGCAGACUUUCUACUGAGUGACCAACAAUCAAACUAGACUUCUAUCCUAGAAAAUGGACUCACAGCCUUUACUGAUGUGGGACAGGAUCCUGGUUCACCCAUCAAGCUGAACUUCAUGCUGUUUUUAUAAAACACUAAAAGAAAAGAGACAAACGUGAAUAAACGGAGUUGAGCAUCGAUGAGGCCCAACAGAAGUCUGCAUGAAGCCUCCAGACCGUCGCUCUGGGUUCUGCUCCAGAGGACACAGGAGCAAACUCACAUCCUGGUCUUAUGUUCUGUCCUCUAAACGUGUUCUGUCCUGGAGCUGAGCAGCUCCUGAGUCAGCUGCUGGAAGAUGUUUGAGCAGAGCUUCUCUCUGAGCUCCAUCACCAUCGUGUGAAACAGCAAAACCAGUUCAGAUGCACAGCACGAGUUUGUUCAGACUGAAAUCUGGACUUCCUGUUUUGAUCCAGCUCUAAAACACUAAAGUGGAUUUCUGUGGAUGAUGACAAGACAUUUGAGGAGUUUCUGAAAUCAUAUCUAAGCAAAAACAUCUUCAGUGGACACCAAAGAGACGCAUCAGACUGUGAUGUGAGGAACCAGAAGCUUCAACACGUCUGCUCAGAACAUGACUCAUUGACCAGCAGCUGAUCGACCUUCUGCCGAUGUUCUGACUGAUAUGAACUCAUGCUGGUCAGAAACACAGACAGCAGUCCACCAGUCACACACCAUCUCAUUCACCUCCAACUACUGGGAUAAUUCAUUGAUCAGUUUAAGUCUAAAUUGGAUGAUUGAUCCAGAACACGGUUCAGCCGGAGUUCUGUCAGACGGGUUUAGAGCUGCAGGUCAGAGCGACCUUUAAAAGCCCGCCAGCCUUUCUGGGACACCAGAUCAGAACCAAACACACUUUGAAUGGAGCAGCAGGGGGCAGGGCUUCAGCGCAGAGCUGGCCUCUGAUUGGUGGACGUCAGCACACACCCACACCUGUCAUCAGUGGAGGAAACAUUCCUAAAAACAAGUUAAUGAUCAACCCCAGUGAAAACACGAGCUGCUAUCUGGAGGAAAAACUGAGAUUACGUUUAUUUAAAUCUAAUCAGACUUAUUGAGACUGAACUGACGUAACCUCCAACCUGAAACCUGCAGGAAACCUGAGAGGAACCUGAUCCGAGAGGUGAUGCAGCGUUGAAGGUCCAACAGCAACAGCACGUCAGGUCCAGUAGCUAUUCAUGGAUCUUUGUGAUGAGUGGAGUCAUGAAUGAUGGCAGCAGGUCGACCUGAGUCAACAGUGAAGCAGAGUCAGGAUGAAACAGCGACUGAAACUGGAAGCACCUGUUCUGACCUGCAUCUGAAGGAUCAAAGACACUUUAAGGUGAUGUUCACAUUGUGGAGAAGACAGAUGAGAGACUGAAGGAAAACAUCCAUCCUGCAUCUUUAACCAGAGGAGGGUCUGUACCACCACCUACCUGUGUGAUUCUGUCCUGAGGACCCUCACCAGGCAGCUCCUCCACCACCGUCUUCACCUGCAAAAGAUUCUCCAAAGAGUCAUAAAAGCUCCUGCAUCGUGUUCACUGACAUGUGAGCAGCUGGAAAAAUGGCUGCAAGUAAUAAAUAUUUCACACAU